rnacentral:rRNA from 1 species
GUAGCUGGUCUGAGAGGAUGACCAGCCACACUGGAACUGAGACACGGUCCAGACUCCUACGGGAGGCAGCAGUGGGGAAUAUUGGACAAUGGGGGAAACCCUGAUCCAGCAAUGCCGCGUGUGUGAAGAAGGCCUUAGGGUUGUAAAGCACUUUCAGUGGGGAGGAGGGUUAUUAGGUUAAGAGCCAGAUAAUUGGACGUUACCCACAGAAGAAGCACCGGCUAACUCCGUGCCAGCAGCCGCGGUAAUACGGAGGGUGCAAGCGUUAAUCGGAAUUAUUGGGCGUAAAGGGUGCGUAGGUGGUUAGGUAAGUUAUCUGUGAAAGCCCCGGGCUCAACCUGGGACGGUCAGAUAAAACUGCUUGACUCGAGUAUAG